rnacentral:rRNA from 1 species
AGUCACGAGUUGAUCCUGGCUCAGAUUGAACGCUGGCGGCAUGCCUUACACAUGCAAGUCGAACGGCAGCACGGGAGCAAUCCUGGUGGCGAGUGGCGAACGGGUGAGUAAUAUAUCGGAACGUGCCCGGUCGUGGGGGAUAACGUAGCGAAAGCUACGCUAAUACCGCAUACGAUCUACGGAUGAAAGCGGGGGAUCGCAAGACCUCGCGCGAUUGGAGCGGCCGAUAUCAGAUUAGGUAGUUGGUGAGGUAAAGGCUCACCAAGCCGACGAUCUGUAGCUGGUCUGAGAGGACGACCAGCCACACUGGGACUGAGACACGGCCCAGACUCCUACGGGAGGCAGCAGUGGGGAAUAUUGGACAAUGGGCGAAAGCCUGAUCCAGCAAUGCCGCGUGAGUGAUGAAGGCCUUAGGGUUGUAAAGCUCUUUUACCCGGGAUGAUAAUGACAGUACCGGGAGAAUAAGCUCCGGCUAACUCCGUG